rnacentral:rRNA from 1 species
ACGCGAAGAACCUUACCAAGGAAUGACAUGCAGAUGGUAGCGAGGUGAAAGCUGAGCGACCCUUCGGGGAGUCUGCACAGGUGCUGCAUGGCUGUCGUCAGCUCGUGCCGUGAGGUGUUAGGUUAAGUCCUGUAACGAGCGCAACCCUCGUCGUUAGUUACAAGUGUCUAACGAGACCGCCGGUGAUAAGCCGGAGGAAGGUGGGGAUGACGUCAAGUCAGCAUGGCCUUUAUAUCCUGGGCUACUCACACGCUACAAUGGCCGGUACGAUGGGCUGCGAAACCGCGAGGUGGAGCCAAUCCCGCAAAGCCGGUCUCAGUUCGGAUGACAGGCUGCAACUCGCCUGUCUGAAGUCGGAGUUGCUAGUAACCGCGCGUCAGCAUAGUGCGGUGAAUACGUUCCCGGGUCUUGUACACACGC